rnacentral:rRNA from 1 species
AUUGAACGCUGGCGGCAGGCCUAACACAUGCAAGUCGAGCGGAUGAAGGGAGCUUGCUCCUGGAUUCAGCGGCGGACGGGUGAGUAAUGCCUAGGAAUCUGCCUGGUAGUGGGGGAUAACGUCCGGAAACGGGCGCUAAUACCGCAUACGUCCUGAGGGAGAAAGUGGGGGAUCUUCGGACCUCACGCUAUCAGAUGAGCCUAGGUCGGAUUAGCUAGUUGGUGGGGUAAAGGCCUACCAAGGCGACGAUCCGUAACUGGUCUGAGAGGAUGAUCAGUCACACUGGAACUGAGACACGGUCCAGACUCCUACGGGAGGCAGCAGUGGGGAAUAUUGGACAAUGGGCGAAAGCCUGAUCCAGCCAUGCCGCGUGUGUGACGAAGGUCUUCGGAUUGUAAAGCACUUUAAGUUGGGAGGAAGGACAGUAAGUUAAUACCUUGCUGUUUUGACGUUACCUACAGAAUAAGCACCGGCUAACUUCGUG